UGUACUACUCAUUUGGCACUUAAUACAUCCAGUAGUUUAUAAUUCAUCAUUCACCCAUUCAUUUUAUUUCAACAAGUAUUCACUGAGGGACUGUUAUUUUCCUGAAACCGUGAUAGGUGCUGGAGGUACCAGGAUGAAGAAGACACAUUGGUUGCCUUCAAGAGAUUCAGUCCUGCUGGUGGACACGGGCUCCUGAGGAGAUGGUGGUCAUACGAUAGGAUAUAAAGAAUAAUUUAUCCAUAUCCCCUGCAUAAAAUCAUGGCCUAUACUUGAAAGCAAGAAUUGAACCAACCAUUUGCCUUUUCUCCAAAUAAAACCAAUUUGAUUCCUUA